GACGCACGCUAGCGGCGUGCCUAAGGUAUGCAAGUCGAGCGAGCAGGGGCAACCCUGCUAGCGGCAAACGGUUGAGUAACACGUAGACAACCUGCCUCCGAGUGGGGGAUACCCCGGGGAAACCCGGGUUAAUACCGCAUGUUGGAAGCGAGGGGCAUCCCUCGUUCUCUAAACGGGCAACCGGCUCGGAGAUGGGUCUGCGGCCUAUCAGCUAGCUGGUGGGGUAACGGCCUACCAGGGCGACGACGGGUAGCUGGUCUGAGAGGAUGACCAGCCAGACGGGGACUGAGACACGGCCCCGACUCCUUCGGGAGGCAGCAAUGAGGGAUAUUGCGCAAUGGGGGAAACCCUGACGCAGCGACGCCGCGUGGGCGAGGAAGUCCUUCGGGAUGUAAAGCCCUUUUGUUGGGGAAGAGAGGCGCAAGCCACGACGGUACCCAACGAAUAAGCCCCGGCUAACUACGUGC
rnacentral:rRNA from 1 species